rnacentral:rRNA from 1 species
ACUCCUACGGGAGGCAGCAGUGGGGAAUAUUGCACAAUGGGGGAAACCCUGAUGCAGCCAUGCCGCGUGUGUGAAGAAGCGCUCUCGGGUUGUAAAAGCACUUUCAGUAGGGAGGAAGGUAGUGUAGUUAACACCUGCAUUAUUUGACGUUACCUACAGAAGAAGCACCGGCUAACUCCGUGCAGCAGCGCGUAAUANCGGAGGGUGCGAGCGUUAAUCGGAAUUACUGGGCGUAAAGCGCAUGCAGGCGGCCUGUUAAGUCAGAUGUGAAGCCCGGGGCUUAACCUCGGAAUUGCAUUUGAAACUGGCAGGGCUAGAGUCUUGUAGAGGGGGGGUAGAAUUUUCAGUGUAGCGGUGAAAUGCGUAGAGAUCUGAAAGGGAAUACCAGUGGCGAAAGGGCGGCCCCCCUGGGACAAAAGACUGACGCCUCAGAUGCGAAAAGCGUGGGGGAGCAAACAGGAUUAGAUACCCUGGU